rnacentral:rRNA from 1 species
GGAGGAGGAGGAUGGGAAUUUCGGGGGGUGGGGGUGGAAGGAGCGAGGAUCAGGAGGGAACCCGGAGGACGAAGGAGGUUUUAUGGCCGUAAACUGACGUGGAGGAGGGAAAGGGGUGGGGGAGCAAACAGGCUUAGAUGCCUGGUGGGUCCACCCCGUGAACGUUGGGGGAACUAGUUGUGGGGUCCUUUCCACGGAUUCCGUGACGCAGCUAACGCAUUAAGUUCCCCGCCUGGGGAGUACGGCCGCAAGGCUAAAACUCAAAGGAAUUGGGGGGGACCCGCACAAGCGGCGGAGCAUGCGGAUUAAUUCGAUGCAACGCGAAGAACCUUACCAAGGCUUGACAUACACGAGAACGCUGCAGAAAUGUAGAACUCUUUGGACACUCGUGAACAGGUGGUGCAUGGUUGUCGUCAGCUCGUGUCGUGAGAUGUUGGGUUAAGUCCCGCAACGAGCGCAACCCUCGUUCUAUGUUGCCAGCACGUAAUGGUGGGAACUCAUGGGAUACUGCCGGGGUCAACUCGGAGGAAGGUGGGGAUGACGUCAAAUCAUCAUGCCCCUUAUGUCUUGGGCUUCACGCAUGCUACAAUGGCCGGUACAAAGGGCUGCAAUACCGUGAGGUGGAGCGAAUCCCAAAAAGCCGGUCCCAGUUCGGAUUGAGGUCUGCAACUCGACCUCAUGAAGUCGGAGUCGCUAGUAAUCGCAGAUCAGCAACGCUGCGGUGAAUACGUUCCCGGGUCUUGUACACACCGCCCGUCAAGUCAUGAAAGUCGGUAACACCUGAAGCCGGUGGCCCAACCCUGGGAGGACCGUCG